UCCGACGCCAAAUAUGCAAAAAGUAAAAACAUAUGCCUCAAUGUGUCAUCCCAGACUAUAUAUAAAGAGAAUUAAAUCUAAGUCAUCCUAACCUAACCAAACUUUAAUGAAACUAAUCUAGCCUUAGCAAGCCACUGACAAAACACAAUAUAAACAGAAAUGUAUCUCCAGGUGUGUUCCCCCCCAAGACCAUAUAUUUAGAGAAUUAAAUCUAAGCUAUCCUAACCUGCCCAAACUUUAAUGAAACUAAUCUAGCCUUAGCAAGCCACUGUCAAAACA